rnacentral:rRNA from 1 species
CCUACGGGAGGCAGCAGUCGAGAAUCAUUCACAAUGGGGGAAACCCUGAUGGUGCGACGCCGCGUGGGGGAAUGAAGGUCUUCGGAUUGUAAACCCCUGUCAUGUGGGAGCAAAUUAAAAAGAUAGUACCACAAGAGGAAGAGACGGCUAACUCUGUGCCAGCAGCCGCAGUAAUAAAGAGGGCUCAAGCGUUGUUCGGAAUCGCUGGGCGUAAAGCGUGCGUAGGCUGUUUCGUAAGUCGUGUGUGAAAGGCGCGGGCUCAACCCGCGGACGGCACAUGAUACUGCGAGACUAGAGUAGUAGAGGAGGAACCGGAAUUCUCGGUGUAGCAGUGAAAUGCGUAGAUAUCGAGAGGAACACUCAUGGCGAAGGCGGGUUCCUGGACAUUAACUGACGCUGAGGCACGAAGGCCAGGGGAGCGAAAGGGAUUAGAUACCCCGGUAGUC